UACGGGGGGGGCAAGCGUUGUUCGGAAUUACUGGGCGUAAAGGGCUCGUAGGCGGCCAACUAAGCCAUACGUGAAAUCCCUCGGCUCAACCUGGGAACUGCGUCUGAUACUGGAUGGCUUGAAUCCGGGAGAGGGAUGCAGAAUUCCAGGUGUAGCGGUGAAAUGCGUAGAUAUCUGGAGGAAUACCGGUGGCGAAGGCGGCAUCCUGGACCGGCAUUGACGCUGAGGAGCGAAAGCCAGGGGAGCAAACGGG
rnacentral:rRNA from 1 species